CCUACGGGGUGCAGCAGUGAGGAAUAUUGGUCAAUGGACGAGAGUCUGAACCAGCCAAGUAGCGUGAAGGAUGACUGCCCUAUGGGUUGUAAACUUCUUUUAUAAAGGAAUAAAACGAGGCACGUGUGCCUUUUUGCAUGUACUUUAUGAAUAAGGAUCGGCUAACUCCGUGCCAGCAGCCGCGGUAAUACGGAGGAUCCGAGCGUUAUCCGGCUUUAUUGGGUUUAAAGGGAGCGUAGAUGGGUUGUUAAGUCAGUUGUGAAAGUUUGCGGCUCAACCGUAAAAUUGCAAUUGAUACUGGCAGUCGUGAGUACAGUUGAGGUAGGCGGAAUUCGUGGUGUAGCGGUGAAAUGCUUAGAUAUCACGAAGAACCCCGAUUGCGAAGGCAGCUUACUAAACUGUGACUGACAUUGAUGCUCGAAAGUGUGGGUAUCAAACAGGAUUAGAUACCCCUGUAGUC
rnacentral:rRNA from 1 species